GGCUGUUUGGUGCACUAUUGACGUGUGCUGCUGUUCCAGCAGAAAAAAGGCAGCCUGUUGCAGAUCGGAAGUGCA